rnacentral:rRNA from 1 species
UAGGGAAUCUUCGGCAAUGGACGGAAGUCUGACCGAGCAACGCCGCGUGAGUGUAGAAGGUUUUCGGAUCGUAAAGCUCUGUUGUUAGAGAAGAACGUUGGUAGGAGUGGACAAUCUACCAAGUGACGGUAACUAACCAGAAAGGGACGGCUAACUACGUGCCAGCAGCCGCGGUAAUACGUAGGUCCCGAGCGUUGUCCGGAUUUAUUUGGCGUAAAGCGAGCGCAGGCGGUUCUUUAAGUCUGAAGUUAAAGGCAGUGGCUUAACCAUUGUACGCUUUGGAAACUGGAGGACUUGAGUGCAGAAGGGGAGAGUGGAAUUCCAUGUGUAGCGGUGAAAUGCGUAGAUAUAUGGAGGAACACCGGUGGCGAAAGCGGCUCUCUGGUCUGUAACUGACGCUGAGGCUCGAAAGCGUGGGGAGCAAACAGG